AUUGAACGCUGGCGGCAGGCCUAACACAUGCAAGUCGAGCGGAUGAAGGGAGCUUGCUCCUGGAUUCAGCGGCGGACGGGUGAGUAAUGCCUAGGAAUCUGCCUGGUAGUGGGGGAUAACGUCCGGAAACGGGCGCUAAUACCGCAUACGUCCUGAGGGAGAAAGUGGGGGAUCUUCGGACCUCACGCUAUCAGAUGAGCCUAGGUCGGAUUAGCUAGUUGGUGGGGUAAAGGCCUACCAAGGCGACGAUCCGUAACUGGUCUGAGAGGAUGAUCAGUCACACUUGAACUGAGACACGGUCCAGACUCCUACGGGAGGCAGCAGUGGGGAAUAUUGGACCAUGGGCGAAAGCCUGAUCCAGCCAUGCCGCGUGUGUGAAGAAGGGCUUCGGAUUUUAAAGCACUUUAAGUUGGGAGGAAGGGCAGUAAGUUAAUACCUUGCUGUUUUGACGUUACCAACAGAAUAAGCACCGGCUAACUUCGUG
rnacentral:rRNA from 1 species